GGGGAUGAUCGGUUUCGACGUGUGUGUACUUCCUAGGGGAAGCGGGCCGAGAAUGCAGAGUUAUCUCGUUAACGCCCUCUGCAAAACAUAGGUGCCGAUUCCAAGCGCACCGACUUCGCCCUCGCUGCCUAAGCGAGCCUCGAAGUCCGUCAGCCCAGGCUAGAUCCCGACCUGGACCCUGGCGUCAUCUAGGGAACUGGCUGCACCUCCUCGUCGUCGGGGGGUGCGGGACUCUUAGACGACUGGGCCUAUCUCACUUGCUCGCCUGAUGCGGGUGAGGGGCCGAGAAACAGAUCUCAGGCUGCGCCCGGAGAAGACCUGGGUUUGCACAUGCGGACGCGGGUUCGAUUCCCGCCAUCUCCACUC
rnacentral:tmRNA from 1 species